rnacentral:rRNA from 1 species
UAGAGGAAGUAAAAGUCGUAACAAGGUUUCCGUAGGUGAACCUGCGGAAGGAUCAUUAUUGAAAUAAACUGAUAGGUUGUUGCUGGUUCUCUAGGGAACAUGUGCACACUUGUCAUCUUUAUAUCUCCACCUGUGCACCUUUUGUAGACCUGGAUAUCUCUCUGAGUGCUUGCACUCAGGUUUGAGGAUUGACUUUUUUUGUCUCUUCUUACAUUUCCAGGUCUAUGUGUCUUCAUAUACUCUAAUGUAUGUUAUAGAAUGUAAUAAAUGGGCCUUUGUGCCUAUAAACCUAUACAACUUUCAGCAACGGAUCUCUUGGCUCUCGCAUCGAUGAAGAACGCAGCGAAAUGCGAUAAGUAAUGUGAAUUGCAGAAUUCAGUGAAUCAUCGAAUCUUUGAACACACCUUGUGCUCCUUGGUAUUCCGAGGAGCAUGCCUGUUUGAGUGUCAUUAAUAUACUCAACCUCUUCUUUGAGUGUUGGAUGUGGGGGUUACUUUUGCUGGCCUCUCUGAGGUCAGCUCCCCUGAAAUGUAUUAGCGGAACAAUUUGUGGACUGUUCAUUGGUGUGAUAACUAUCUACGCUAUUGACGUCAAGCAAUUCUGCUUCUAAUAGUCCAUUGACUUGGACAAAUUUCAUUAACAUGACCUCAAAUCAGGUAGGACUACCCGCUGAACUUAAGCAUAUCAAUAA